rnacentral:lncRNA from 12 species
UUGCAAACCUAAGAAAUUCCUUGGGACUUGUACAAUGCUUGGCUGCAGGUGGAGUCUGCAAGCCAUAAAAGCUGCAGUUAAUGGUGAGGGUUUGUCUUCGUGUUGUAAGUAAUGUGUGUGGGCGUGGGGCACAUGAGCAUGGAGAAGAGCACGCAUUGCUGAGUGUGUGUUUAUUCUGUUUGUUCUGCUUUCUCUCCUGUGCCACAGCAGAGCUGCUGAACAUCUCUGCACUGAAUGUGUUCUCGUGUAUCUGUAGUUUUUUUUUAAGUUUAUUUUUUACACAGCGUCCUUUAGUUGACAUAUUUGAAAUACUUAAGGAAUGCUUAAAAUGUUUUUAUGAUUUACUCCAUUUUUGCUGGUAUUUUUAGCACAGGUGGUCUCAUCAACAAAGGAGCUGCUCAUUCACAGUAUUGUUUGACUAAGACUUUAGAGAAAAGAUUAGCUGAUGUAGUUAGAGGUACAAAACAAACAAAAAAAAUCCUAGAGCUUAUUGAACAAAAAUGGGUUGUUUUGACCAUCAUGCUGUGGGCUGAUAUUACAUGGGUAAAUUGCUAUCAGAGACUUUUCUCUUAGUCUGUGAUUUUUAGCUUGGUUGGGUCAUACUUUUCAAAGCAAGGCAUCAUUUGGGUUUUAUUCUAAUGCAAAACACUGUGUAUCCCUGAGCUGCCUUUUAGGGGGCAGAAUGUAAGAGCCAUCAGUAUCUGGGAUGUAUCUCCAAAGUGGCCAGUGACAUUUAGCCCAAUUUUGGUUGGAACUUGUGUCAUGGAACGCAGCAGUCCCUCCAGGGAGCUGAGCUCUAGCCUUAGGGACCUCCCUCAACACUUCAUAACCCAGAAUAAAGCAUUCAGGCUACUGAGGAGAGAUCCAGGAAACAGCCAUCAGCCCGUGCCUGGAAAGGAAAGGCAGGAGCAAGCACAGAGAAAAGUGUCCCCAGAUAUUGCAGAGCUUUCUGUGGGCUGGGGCGUUUUUCAGCCUGAGAUGACUUUGGUAAACUGUGAUGGAUUUUUUUCUUUCCUGUAUUUUUACAGUCUCUUUUAGAGUCCAGGUAAACUUGUACUACAUUUUGUCCUGCGUCAAGGUGUUCUACAGUUUGAUUAUAUGUGAAUGAAGAAACAGUAAUUAUUUCCCUUGUUCUUAAUUUUUCAUCUACUAGUUCCUUCUGUUACCUUCUAGCUCUUCCAUUGGAAGAGUGUAAACAAUUAUUCCCUGUACACAUUUCACAUCACCAAUCUUUGUAAGCUUCCACUGUAUUCCCCCCUUAGGCUGAUGUACUGAAACACAUGCAGUCCUUUCUUCCACAGUUUUCCUCUUGCUUCUUGUCAGUUUUCCCACAGACUCACUCAGUCUGUGAAUGUCUGCUGAACCAGCCAUGACAUCCCAAUCCAUGUGGCUAUAACUAAGAUUUCUCAUUGUGCUGUUUCUUGCCGCUGUGCCUCUCUGAUCUUGACGUGCCAUUGCUGCUGCCACCAAGCCCGUGACAGUGUUCACCGGAUCCUUUACCCUUCUUUAGACUUGGAAUUUCUGUCCUCAGUGACAGUUUCACUAUUUGUUAUGUCGAUCAUUUUGUUUAAGCAAAUGCUUUAAUAUACUCCUGCUCGCCCGCCAACGUGACUCGUUCUGCCUUUUCCGCACGUUUUGUCCCUGCAUGCAGCAUCCAUUUUUCUUCUUUUCACGGGCUGCCCAACACGCCAAUUCCAUCAGGAUCCGCGCCUGAAUUACUCGCUUUCUUUCCCUGACCUGUUUCUUUGGUCCUUUUCGUGCAGAAGCGUUUGUCGGCUCUUCCUCGCGCCUUCACAACACCGGUGAACGCGGCCGUUCGGGCACAGCCUGCACUCCCAGGGCGAGCGCCGCUUCCAUGAGCCGGCCUGGCCGAGCCGGGCCGAGCUGAACCGAUCCGGUCUGGGGGGGGGGGGGGGGGGGGGGGGGGGGGGGGGGGGGGGGGGGGGGGGGGGGGGGGGGGGGGGGGGGGGGGGGGGGGGGGGGGGGGGGGGGGG